rnacentral:rRNA from 1 species
GGACGAACGCUGGCGGCGUGCUUAUCCCAUGCAAGUCGAACGGAAAGGCCCUGCUUUUGUGGGGUGCUCGAGUGGCGAACGGGUGAGUAACACGUGAGUAACCUGCCCUUGACUUUGGGAUAACUUCAGGAAACUGGGGCUAAUACCGGAUAGGAGCUCCUGCUGCAUGGUGGGGGUUGGAAAGUUUCGGCGGUUGGGGAUGGACUCGCGGCUUAUCAGCUUGUCGGUGGGGUGGUGGCUUACCCAGGCUUUGACGGGUAGCCGGCCUGGGAGGGUGACCGGCCACAUUGGGACUGAGGUACGGCCCAGACUCCUACGGGGGGCAGCGGUGGGGAAUAUUGCACAAUGGGCGGAAGCCUGAUGCAGCAACGCCGCGUGCGGGAUGACGGCCUUCGGGGUGUAAACCGCUUUCGCCUGUGACGAAGCGUGAGUGACGGUAAUGGGUAAAGAAGCACCGGCUAACUACGUG